rnacentral:rRNA from 1 species
AUUGAACGCUAGCGGCAUGCCUAACACAUGCAAGUCGAACGAGUGGCGGACGGGUGAGUAAUAUCUGGGAAACUGCCCGGUGGAGGGGGAUAACUACUGGAAACGGUAGCUAAUACCGCAUACCAUCGGAUGUGCCCAUAUGGGAUUAGCUAGUGGGUGGGGUAACGGCUCACCUAGGCGACGAUCCCUAGCUGGUCUGAGAGGAUGACCAGCCACACUGGAACUGAGACACGGUCCAGACUCCUACGGGAGGCAGCAGUGGGGAAUAUUGCACAAUGGGCGCAAGCCUGAUGCAGCCAUGCCGCGUGUAUGAAGAAGGCCUUCGGGUUGUAAAGUACUUUCAGCGGGGAGGCGUUACUCGCAGAAGAAGCACCGGCUAACUCCGUGCCAGCCGCCGCGGUAAUUC